rnacentral:lncRNA from 1 species
AUUGCAAGGUUGCCGCCAUUUUACACUACGUUCUGGACAAAGAAAGAUGGCGUUUUGGGCUUUGUUUCAAGCAGCAAAUAGAUGUCUAUGUGAGGUAUGAAGUUGAAAAGUCAAAAGUUAGUGUAUACCGAGACAAGAAAUGAAGCUAAGAUAGAGUCAGACAUAGUACAGGUCAUGUAACAGAUGGCGUGGACAGAAUGUUGUUGUGGUGGCUUUGUUCAAGUUACAUAUUCUGACAAAGAUGGUAAAGCAGUGGUAGA